rnacentral:rRNA from 1 species
GACGAACGCUGGCGGCGUGCUUAACACAUGCAAGUCGAACGGAAAGGCCCUGCUUUUGUGGGGUGCUCGAGUGGCGAACGGGUGAGUAACACGUGAGUAACCUGCCCUUGACUUUGGGAUAACUUCAGGAAACUGGGGCUAAUACCGGAUAGGAGCUCCUGCUGCAUGGUGGGGGUUGGAAAGUUUCGGCGGUUGGGGAUGGACUCGCGGCUUAUCAGCUUGUUGGUGGGGUAGUGGCUUACCAAGGCUUUGACGGGUAGCCGGCCUGAGAGGGUGACCGGCCACAUUGGGACGAGGAUACGGCCCAGACUCCUCCGGGGGCAGCAGUGGGGAAUAUUGCACAAUGGGCGGAAGCCUGAUGCAGCAACGCCGCGUGCGGGAUGACGGCCUUCGGGUUGUAAACCGCUUUCGCCUGUGACGAAGCGUGAGUGACGGUAAUGGGUAAAGAAGCACCGGCUAACUACGUG